UACGGGGGGGGCAAGCGUUGUUCGGAAUUACUGGGCGUAAAGAGCUCGUAGGCGGCUUGGCAAGUCGGGUGUGAAAACUCCAGGCUCAACCUGGAGACGCCACCCGAUACUGCCAUGGCUAGAGUCCGGUAGGGGACCACGGAAUUCCUGGUGUAGCGGUGAAAUGCGCAGAUAUCAGGAGGAACACCGGUGGCGAAGGCGGCUCACUGGACUGGUAUUGACGCUGAGGUGCGAAAGCGUGGGGAGCAAACAGG
rnacentral:rRNA from 1 species